CUUACAAACNACCNNGUGAAGCGGCAACAGCUCAAAUUUGANAUCUGGCCCUUGGGUCCGAAUUGUAAUUUGUAGAGGAUGAUUUUGGUGCGGUAUCUUCCGAGUUCCUUGGAACAGGACGCCUUAGAGGGUGAGAGCCCCGUACGGUUGAAUGCCUAGCCUCUGUAAAUCUCCUUCGACGAGUCGAGUAGUUUGGGAAUGCUGCUCUAAAUGGGAGGUAAAUUUCUUCUAAAGCUAAAUAUUGGCCAGAGACCGAUAGCGCACAAGUAGAGUGAUCGAAAGAUGAAAAGCACUUUGAAAAGAGGGUUAAAUAGCACGUGAAAUUGUUGAAAGGGAAGGAUUUGUGACCAGACUUUUUCUGGGCGGAUCAUCCGGGGUUCUCUCCGGUGCACUUCGCCCAGUAAAGGCCAGCAUCGGUUUUCGGCGUGGGAUAAAAGCAGUANGAAUGUGGCUCUCUACGGGGAGUGUUAUANCCUAUUGUAUAAUACCNCGCUGGGGACCGANGUUCNCGCUUCUGCAAGGAUGCUGGCGUAAUGGUUAUCAAUCNCCC
rnacentral:rRNA from 1 species